UGCAGCGAUGCAUUGAGCUAACCAGUACUAAUGAUCCGUGAGGCUUAACCUUACAACACCGAAGGUGUU
rnacentral:rRNA from 1 species